rnacentral:misc_RNA from 1 species
AUGGGACGGCCCGCUGGGCUGUUCCCGCCCCUAUGCCCUUUUUUGGGUUUCCGGCCAGAGGCAUGCUGGGAGCGUCACAUGCAAAUUGAGCGUGCACCCAGCGUUCCGCCCUUUCUACGCUGGGCCGGUUAUCGACCCGGCCCAGUGCGCAGGCGCGGGAAAGUUGAACUAAUAAAGUUUGUACGAGUUCAGUGGAGGAGACCGCAAGUUGAGUGGAGGAGGCGGCGGUGGGGCCCCGGACCAGGUGCCUCCAUGGCAGGCUCUGAAGAGCUGGGGCUCCGGGAAGACACGCUGAGGGUCCUAGCUGCCUUCCUUAGGCGUGGUGAGGCUGCCGGGUCUCCUGUUCCAACUCCACCUAGAAGCCCUGCCCAAGAAGAGCCAACAGACUUCCUGAGCCGCCUUCGAAGAUGUCUUCCCUGCUCCCUGGGGCGAGGAGCAGCCCCCUCUGAGUCCCCUCGGCCUUGCUCUCUGCCCAUCCGCCCCUGCUAUGGUUUAGAGCCUGGUAAGAGAUUUCCAUGAUCAUCUAUGAAGCCGGCAGAACACGGGAUAAGGCCCAGCUACUCCAGACUUCUAUGCUUUGGUGGCCCAGCGGCUGGAACAGCUGGUCCAAGAGCAGCUGAAAUCUCCGCCCAGCCCAGAAUUACAGGGUCCCCCAUCGACAGAGAAGGAAGCCAUACUGCGGAGGCUGGUGGCCCUGCUGGAGGAGGAGGCAGAAGUCAUUAACCAGAAGCUGGCCUCGGACCCCGCCCUGCGCAGCAAGCUGGUCCGCCUGUCCUCCGACUCUUUCGCCCGCCUGGUGGAGCUGUUCUGUAGCCGGGAUGACAGCUCUCGCCCAAGCCGAGCAUGCCCCGGGCCCCCGCCUCCUUCCCCGGAGCCCCUGGCCCGCCUGGCCCUAGCCAUGGAGCUGAGCCGGCGCGUGGCCGGGCUGGGGGGCACCCUGGCCGGACUCAGCGUGGAGCACGUGCACAGCUUCACGCCCUGGAUCCAGGCCCACGGGGGCUGGGAGGGCAUCCUGGCUGUUUCACCCGUGGACUUGAACUUGCCAUUGGACUGAGCUCUUUCUCAGAAGCUGCUACAAGAUGACACCUCAUGUCCCUGCCCUCUUCGUGUGCUUUUCCAAGUCUUCCUAUUCCACUCAGGGCUGUGGGGUGGUGGUUGCCCUACCUGUUUUUGCCAAAAAUAAAUUGUUUAAAACUUUUCUUAUUAAAAACGUUACAAAGUA